UACGGAGGAUGCGAGCGUUAUCCGGAUUUAUUGGGUUUAAAGGGUGCGUAGGCGGACGCUUAAGUCAGCGGUAAAAUUGCGGGGCUCAACCUCGUCGAGCCGUUGAAACUGGGUGCCUUGAGUGGGCGAGAAGUACGCGGAAUGCGUGGUGUAGCGGUGAAAUGCAUAGAUAUCACGCAGAACUCCGAUUGCGAAGGCAGCGUACCGGCGCCCAACUGACGCUGAAGCACGAAAGCGUGGGGAGCAAAUAGG
rnacentral:rRNA from 1 species